AGUUUUUUGCGUCAGAAUAAUGGUCAGAUUGGUUUUACGCAGAUUUAUUACGUAUAUCUAGCUCACUGUUCUGUGACUGACUGUCUGCUAGGAUCUGAUUGUCAUUGUCAAUGCUGGUCAAUGUGUUGCCGUCACGAUUUGACAGUUUGGGCCCAAUUUUUGACGUUUUGACACUCACGCCCGGGCCUGCUCAUCGAACGUCAUCGAUCAACUGGGGUCCUAAUCCAACCAAUCAACAAAGCAGCAUGAAAGUUGGUCAACCCAUUGUUCAAGUUCUACGAAGACAGAGCCUUAAGCCUACACAUUUGCCCCAGCAGCUGUUGAUCUCACUUCCAACAAAAGAAGGUGGCGUUUUGAUAGAAAUCAAACAGUUGGGAACUGGCAAGGAGCAGCUUAGUCCAGUCAGUCCACGCAGGCUUUUUGACGAAUGGCAUGAAGCUUGAUUUUCCCAAGGUAGUGUAAAAAAGACAUGCAAGACCUUACUGGAGUAAAUACCAUUGAAGUGUGCAGUCUUGUCUUGUUAAUCCAGUUAUGCUUUCGGUGAAAAUGGAAGUCCACCUAAAAAUUCCUCUUAAAUGCCACAUUGCUGAUGUUUGAGGUUGGAAGAUAGAAGAUCUCACCAAAGCAUGGAGGAGCAUGAUGGAGGAAUUAUAAAUCAAACCUUAAAGUUAUUCAAAUCCUAUAAUGAAAAGGUGCUUGUUGCUGAAGUUUCACUGAUCGGUCGACACGGAGACACGGUAUUUGAUCAACUUGAGUUAAGCUUCAACCUUGGAGAAGAUUUAGAACACAACAUUCCCGACGGUGUUGAAUAGGCUCUGUUGAAAUUCAAGAAGCAAGGGAAGUUGACACCUGCAUACGGUUUCGGCUCUGCCGGUAACGAGAAACAAGGUGUUUUACCCAACGUCAACUUCGAAUACGAGGUUGAACUCACCAGCUUUGAAAAGGCCAAAGAGAGCUGGAGCAUGGACGCCGAAGAAAAAGCUGGAACAGGCUAAACUCUGCAAAGAAAAAGGAAUCAAUCAUUUUAAAACUGCCAAAUACGCUCUGACCAACAAACAGUACUCCAAGAUUGUCACCCUCCUCGAGUUUGAAAAAAGUAACUCUUAAAGACGAGAAAGCUACGGAGCGAGAACAGCUCAUGCUGGCAGCAUACCUCAAUCAGGCCAUGUGCUGUUUAAAGUUAAAUGAUUUCUGUGCAACUCGUGAUCAUUGCCACAAGGC